ACACCGGCAGCUCUAGUGGUAACAAUUUUUAUUGGGCCUAAAGCGUCCGUAGCCGGUUUAAUAAGUCUCUGGUGAAAUCCUGUAGCUUAACUGUGGGAAUUGCUGGAGAUACUAUUAGACUUGAGAUCGGGAGAGGUUAGAGGUACUCCCAGGGUAGAGGUGAAAUUCUGUAAUCCUGGGAGGACCGCCUGUUGCGAAGGCGUCUAGCUGGAUCGAUUCUGACGGUGAGGGACGAAAGUUAGGGGCGCGAACCGGAUUAGAUACCCGGGUAGUCCUAACUGUAAACGAUGCGGACUUGGUGUUGGGGUGGCUUUGAGCUGCUCCAGUGCCGAAGGGAAGCUGUUAAGUCCGCCGCCUGGGAAGUACGGUCGCAAGACUGAAACUCAAAGGAAUUGACGGGG
rnacentral:rRNA from 1 species